rnacentral:rRNA from 1 species
CCUACGGGUGGCAGCAGUAGGGAAUCUUUCACAAUGGGCGAAAGCCUGACGGAGCAACGCCGCGUGCAUGAUGAAGGCCUUCGGGUUGUAAACUGCUUCAAUAAGCGAGAAAUAUGACUGUAACUUAUGAAUAAGCAUCGGCUAACUACGUGCCAGCAGCCGCGGUCAUACGUAGGAUCCGAGCAUUGUCCGGAGUGACUGGGUGUAAAGAGUUGCGUGGGUGGGAUAAUAAGUAGCUAGUGAAAACUGGUGGCUCAACCAUUCAGUCUAUUAGCUAAACUGUUAAGCUCGAGAGCGUUAGGGGUAACUGGAAUUUCUGGUGUAGGAGUGAAAUGCGUAGAUAUUAGGAGGAACACCAGUGGCGUAGGCAGGUUACUGGGACGGUUCUGACACUGAGGCACGAAAGCGUAGGGAGCAAACGGGAUUAGAUACCCGUGUAGUC